GCGAUGUGGUUUAAUUCGUAUGAUACGCGAGGAACUUACCUGGGCUCGAACGUAAGAUGACUGUAGGUGAAAGCUUACAUCUCUUCGGAGCAUUUUACGAGGUGCUGCAUGGUUGUCGUCAGCUCGUGCCGUGAGGUGUCGGUUAAGUCCCAUAACGAGCGCAACCCUACCUUUAGUUGCCAUCAGGUAAUGCUGGGGACUCUAAAGGAACUGCCUACGCAAGUAGUGAGGAAGCGGGGAUGACGUCAAAUCAGCACGGCCCUUACGUCCAGGGCUACACACGUGCUACAAUGGCCGAUACAGAGGGCAGCUACCUGGUGACAGGAUGCAAAUCUCCAAAGUCGGUCUCAGUUCGGAUCGGAGUCUGCAACCCGACUCCGUGAAGUUGGAUUCGCUAGUAAUCGCGCAUCAGCCAUGGCGCGGUGAAUACGUUCCCGGGCCUU
rnacentral:rRNA from 1 species